rnacentral:lncRNA from 10 species
CUGGAGCAAAGGAAACAGGAAUAAAAGCAGACGGACCUGUUGUGCUUUGCAGUAAUCUGGGUGAGAAGAUGAUAGUUGUGCCAGGGUUUCAGCAGUAAAUAUAGUAGUGGUGGUUGGGUUAGGGACAGGCCAAUAGGACUUACUGACACCUUGGAAGUGAAGAGUAAGAAAAAGAGAGAGAUAAAUAAUGGAAAGCCUCAUUCCUCCAAACUAAAACAUGGCAAUGCAAUUCAUCUGCUCUCUUCAUCCCAGAAAGAACUCUGCCAUCUUCCCUACCCUACCUACCACUACUGUCAUAGGAAUAGAGCAUGAGAGACCAAAUCUCCAGAAGGAAGAGAAGAAGACCUUAUGCCUCCAAUGUCUUCAUUCCUUGACCACUUUCCUCAUGGUCAGGUGAAUUCCUACUGAAAUCCUCUUUCCGGCUCUUCUAUCCCUAACAGAUGAAAUCAACCUACUGAAAUCCAGGUCUACUAGUGAAAUAAAACUAGGCAUAUUUUUUCACUGGAUGAACAUACAGCAUGAAGACAGGCACAUAUUCUGCUUGAUAAUUUCCUGUUCUGUACUUUUAACAUUUAUUUUAAAACCCUGCUUAUCCUGGAGCAAUCUAUUUCUCCAACCAAACAUGAAGCAAAUGUCUACUGUUUCCUGCGUUCCUUGUUUAGAGGGCCAGAGGUAUUAAGAUCCAGAAACAUGAUUGAGGAAAUUCCAUUUAAUUGAUAGUUUAUUGGUUGCAAAACUAUAAGCUCAUUGGAAGUAGGAAAUGUAUCUUACUGGACUUGACAUCUCCCAGAGCCCCUGGUAGAAGCUGCUGUUCAUGUUGAGCCCUCAAUGCUAUUGGGCUGAAAAAUGUUAUAAGAAUUAUCAUCUGUUUCCUAGAUGAAGAAGAGUUCAGAAUAUCCUUGAAAUAUUUAACUUCUGCAGAAAAGUGCAUGCUGUAUCAGUUUAAAAUACUAUGUAAUAUUGAUGUAGAGUUUUUCCAGUUAUGACUAGACUCUUCAUCCUAGCUUUCAAAGACUCAAUCCAGUGUCCACAAUUCACCUUGUUCAUCUUAUUUUGAGCAAUUAUGUCAUUUGGAGUCCAUUCCUCAAAUGUUCUGUUGUCCAUAACAUCCUCCUGUAUAUGAAUCCUACCUAAACUAUAUGUUCUUUUAAAAUAAAGAUCAAACUUUUAUUUAUUCAUCUUUAUAUAUCUUUUUCUAAGUUGCUCAACUGAGUUUGUGGAAAGUUUUUGAGAGAGAUUAAAGCAAACCAUUCAUGCUACAAAAGAGCAAAACGAAAGAUAAUUAAAGUAUUAAGAUCAAAGAAAAGGGGAUAUUGCAAAAAAUGCCAAAUGGAAGGCUCAACAUUAUUGAUUCAGUUUCAAUCUUGGGUCUGAGCAUCCUAAAAGCCAAUGGGUAAAAGAAAAUAGGAAUUGUCCUAGUUCUUAUCAGAAAGAAGCAAGCAGAACAGGUCUAAAAAAGCUAUGCCUAGUAUGAUUCUCACAAGGGAUUCUGUAAUGAGGGAUGCAAUUAGCAUUUCACAGAAAAUACAUUUAGAAAUUGUGUAUGCUGUUUCCUACAAGUCCUUCCAAAAAUGGUGAUGGCCAUGUCCUUUUAUCACUAAUGUACUGCAAACUAACAGCUGCUAGAUAAAUGUUAUCAGUGUUGACAACUCUGGGUGCACAUCUGUGUUUAAGCAAAAUGUUCCUUUUUUGGGAAUACUCUUCUCCAGUACCUUCAUGAUUUGAACCUUAUCUAUUCUUCCAGGCUCAGCCCAAAACUCAAACCUGACCUCCAUGAAGACUUCCUUCCUCAUGUUGAUUUUCUUACUCUGCAUUAAUGUGAGAGUUCUGCAUACGGAACUUAGUGUUUUUGUUUAAACAUUGUUUUAGAGUUGCUCAGUAAGUAUGCCUUUCCCUUCAACUAGCUGGUAUGAAACAUUAAAGAUGGCUGCAAUUUCUUUUGUACUUCUCUCAUGGAGAAGAAGAGUCUAAUUAUCCUCCCAUUGAAUCUGGGCUGGCCUUGGUGACUUGCUUGACCAAUAGAAUAUGGUAGAAGUAAUGUCAUGGCAAUUCAGGCUUAUCUUCUCAGACAACUAGCACAUUCUCUCUGGACUUCUUAGAACCCUGAUGUGCCAUGUUGUAGAAAUUCUAAGCCAUGAGAAAAAGCCACAUGCAGGUACUUUUGUUAACAGUCGCAACUGAGCCUAGCCUUCCAUCCAUCUAUUUUAUGAACUAGGCCUAUGCUGAAGCUGUCCUGGGCUCUCUAGACAGUCCAUCAACCAGCUGACCACCACCAAGUGACCUCCAUCAAUGCCAUCCGGAACUAAAGAAUUCUCAUCCAAUUCCUGCCUGAAUUCCUAUAGAAUCUUGAAAUCGAAUGAAAUGUUGAUUGUUGUAAGACAUUAAAUCUUGGGAUUAUUUGUUAUGUAACAAUUGAUAGCAAAUCAGUCAUAAGCAUCCAGAGGCUAUUUGUUGAAGCGAUUGGAUAAAUGAAGUAGAAUACAUGAUGUAAAUCUAAAUCAUGUAUUUUACUUCAUUUACCCAUUCACUUCAACACAGAGCUGUGGAAUACCCACCAUGUACAAGGCAAUGUUGUAGGAGCUGGAGAUAAAAUGAAAUGAAUGAGACAAAUAUCUCUGUCACACUAGUAGGGGAGACAAAGAAUGAACAUGAAAACAAAUAAUGUUAUUAAAUACUUUUGUAAUAUCCAAAUUGCCAGGGACAGCGCUAACUAUAGAAAGUAGUGACUAAUGAAGGCUGCAUUUCUAUGCACACACAACACAGCUAAAUGUGUCAUUCCCAACUUUACCUAAAAAAAAGCAAACAAAGAAACUUAACUGAAUCCAAGCAUUUAGUAGACUAAGUUACUAACAAGACAAGUCAGAUAAGCCAGAGAGGUUUAUAAACAACACAUUUCUAGUACAAAUGGGUAUAAUGAAAAGAUGUUUACCUGUUUUUUUUUUUUUUCUGAAAAGCAGUGUCUUCUUUGCCUUUGGAGUCCUAAAACUUUUAUUAGGAAAAAAGGGGGCAAACCCCCAGCUUUUCAGAAAUGUAGGUUAUUCCCUAACCAGCGUAGAAUGUAUUGCUCCAUAAAAUGUCAACAUCAAAACAGUAUAGAAAAAAUAAUUACAGACAGUAUUAGUGUUGUAAGCUGAUAAGGACCAGAUGGUCUUUUGUAUUUAUGGUUUUCCUUGUGCAUACAAAUGCUUUGGGGAUCUAAUUAGCCUUCUACAAAACUCAAACUGGGUAAUUACUAUCAUUAUCCCCUUUUCAAAUAAAUCUGAAGUCUAAACUGCAAUUAUGUUUUUUAUCUUACAUUUGGUAUUCGCACAUUUUAAGAAUUGUUCUUUGCCAUCUACUCAGAAAACUUCUUAACAUGGACUGAAGUAUAUAAAAUGCAGGAAGAUUAUCAAAAAAACACUUUUUGGAAAAAAUGGCUCACUCUGUUAGAGGAAAGUGCUGACAGCCAUGGAAGCAAGCACUUCCUCAACAAGUCCCGCCUCUGUCAUAUUUUCACUCCAAUCAAGAAGAAAGUCCCUCUUCCCCAAGACUUUAUAUUUCCAGUUAUGCUUUGCACAGCAAAAGAGAAGAAUCACUACAUGGAGACAUAACCAGUCACGCAUGUUAGAGAAAGGAUUCUCUGUGAGAUGCGAUGUGGCAGCCGCUUCAAUUAACUUCUGACUCUGCCCCCAAAGUGCAAUACCUGGGCCAGCAAUGAGCUAUGAAAAGGCAGCAGUGCGCAUAACAAGCCUGGUAUGUCAUCUUUAUGGGUUUUUUGGCCUCAGGACAGUCAAGUCACGUGGUAACAUCUCUGUAUUGCAAAGCAAAGGGGACGUAAUCACAUGUGUCCGUGAACUCAUAAUAGAAAAUUCAUAAAAGUCUAUCUCCAGUGAGAAGUAUGUGAAAAGGGGUGUUAGGAAGUGAACAUUUUAUUUUAGGCACAAGGCCAAGGAUCAGAGUUAUCGGGGGGGCGGGGUGGUAUGUGUGUCUUCCUCGAUAGAACAAAACACAGUGACAGGUAUCAGAAACUACUUCUUCCUCAGCAUCACCCAGUGAGGAAGUCAGGAAUAUUCAGGAUGUUGGCUUGACAUCUCAAAAUUUAGCAUUAUGAUUACUGAUCCAGGGGUCAAAAUCCAAAAAUAAUUGAUAGAGGGAACCCUCAGACCUGCAACUCAUGAACAUAAUUGAUAGAGAGAAAACCCAUGACCUGCAACUGAGCAGGGUACUUGGCACUAGGGAGGCACUUUUACUAAAAAGAGAUGCUAUAUGUCAAUGCAGGCUUCAGAGGCACCCCCACCCCUGGCCUGCCUGACAAAAGGAUGGCUCUGGGGCUGCCACCUUGGCCCCCGGCCCUGGAGACUGCCCUGGGCUGCCCUCGCAGGCAGCAGCAGAGGCACCCAGGCAUUGACAAGGAUGGCUGCAAGGUCAGCACUUUAUUCUCCCUGAUAUGAUGACAGUAACCUUUGCAAUGCACUGAAAAGAAUCUAGAAGGCAUGUAGCCAUUCUUUUAUCCAUUCAACAAAUAUUUACUAGGCAUCUACUUAGUGUGAUAAAUCACAUGAGGCAAUUUGUGCAAGUUCAGAUGUCAACAAAACAUUGGCCUUGGAAAUAUUGUCAGGUUCCAAUCAUAAAAGUCCCCUACCCAAUACCGUAUGAGAACAAAAGUGCUUAGGUGGCUUGGUGUGUUUGCACACAAGCAGUGGUAAAGUUUUUGCAUCUUAGGCUUCUGUGAGAGCCUGGGGUGUUUAUGGGCAGUGAUCACAAUUGGGGAAUUCAUAAUGCCAGGGACUGUCUUCAUCUAUCUCUGAGUGUAUAUAUCUCCUUGUAACAGCACCUUAAUAUUUGUACAGUCAUUUUUAUAGUUUACAGUGUAUCUUUACCCUCAUCAUCCUCCUUGUUGGAAGCAUAACAAGUGAUCUUAUCCCAAUUUCACAGAUGGACAAGAUGGAUGGGAGACAUUAAGGGACUUGCCCAAAGCUAUGCAGCAGUAAGAAUCCUAAGCAGGACUCACAUGCAGGUUUUCUCACUACAUGAAAAACCUACAAACUUUCUGGACACUGCACUGGCUGAUGAGGGUUUUUCCUGAAGCCUCUGAGCAGAAGUUGGGUGUCAGGGCAGCUCACUGCAGGGCUGUCUGGGCAGCUUGUUUAGGUGACUUAGGCUGCUUGGCAUCUUAAAUGCCCCUUUGCUUCUGACGGUGCAGGUCCAAAGCCCAGGGGAAAUUUGAAUUAGGGCAAGACCACAGUAUCUGCAUUAAUUUGCAACCUGAUGUAAUAGAAAGAACAAAGAUUUUCAGUUAGUAGGUUCAGGUUCAAGGCUCAGCUUGGUCCACAUGAGCUCCAUGAAGUAAUUUAAUCUCUUUGGGAUUUGGCUUCGUUAUAAGAAAUCAUGUCUGUGUUGUGUAGCAAUUUAAAGCAAAAGAUAAGCAUCCUGAGGCUGAAAUAAUGUAUUCUGCUUCAUUUAUUCAUUCAUAUUACCUCACAGGGUCACUAGGAUAAUUGAAUGAGAUGGCAUGGACAAAGCCCAGGUACAGUGCAUGGCAGAGUAAGGGUUAGCUCUGUUCCAUUUUCUGUCAGAUUUUCUGUGGGUUUUGUUUUACUCUGCAAAGGAGAGAAGGAUAUGCUUAAGAGUUCCCAUCAUGGGAAUGCCCCAGGACUCUAGGCAUCUAGAGAAAGCCUUUUUGCUGGCUAAAUGUCAGCAAGGCAGCUGGAGGGAAGUGUCAGUCAUGACAUAGUCUGCUGUCUCCCAGUAAGUAAAGGGUAAGAAGCCCUGUCUCAAUGCUCUCUAGAAAUGCUCAGCCAAUCCUCAAAUGGGCAGUAAUGCAUCACUAUCUGCCUUGUUUAAUGAUGGAAAUUAAAGGCAAAAACAAUAGCAACCAUGUCUGCAUUUUCAUAAGCAUUUCUUGCUGAUUUAAAUAUAGUCUGUGAAUUCUCUGGUCAGGAUGAAAUCCAAAAUACCUUCCAUAUCCACUUAGCAGAAUGGGCUUCCUGCCAGUCAAAUGGUUGUGUGGGGCCCAGAAAAUAAUUGAGAUGACAGUCCAGUUUUGCACUGGAGGUUAAAAUAUCAAAUUGUAUCAGUUCUAUGUCUGAUGUUGAUUCAUCCUGCCAGCUUACUGGGUUCUGAGGAUGACAACUAAAGCAGUGAACUGGCCAUGUUCCCACAUGAGGGCAUCUCUGAGUCAUGGCACUGGAGAACCCAAAGGCAAUCACAGCACAGGGUGAAGAUGGGAAAAGAGGAUGAGGCUUAAAGCCCAGGCAGAUCUGGCAGAAACUUUUCCUCUACCAGCAUCCAUGGCUGGCUUGGAUCAGUUCCUCAGGUUCUGAAAGGCAGAACACAAAGGAAGAUCCACAGCCCCCCUUUUCAGAUACAUGCAUUUCAUGACCUGCCACAGCUGUUCCCAUUUGGAAGAAUGGACAUGUGGUCCAGGUUGGAUCAAUGGCUUUCAUGAAAAUUCAGACUUCCUCAAACGGCUUCUACAAGUGUGCAUUGUGCCUCCCUUCAACCUCAUGUUGCAGAGAUCUCAACAUUCCAGUAGCAUUUGGUAUUGGUAUAUACUUUUUCAGCUAUUAAGAACCAUUGUUUUUGUUUGCUUGAGUUUUACAGUUAUAGCAAUAAACUUUGUUUCUAAACUUAACAUAAAUGAUAAAGUGACAAAAUGAUUAUAGCAUGUUUGCAGGGGGUACCCCCAAAAGACAUAUCUAUUCUAGCCCUUGGAAUACGUGAAUGUGAUGCUAUUUGGAAAAAGGAUCUUUGUAGAUAUAAUUAGGUUAAAGACUUCAAGAUGAGAUCAUCCUAGAUUACCUGGGUAGACCCUAAAUCCAAUGACAGAUAUCCUUAUAAGAGAAAGGCAGAGGGGGAUAUGGAACAUGGAGUGGAAAGCAAUGUGAAGACAGAGGCCGAGAUUGGAGUGACGCAGCCUCAAGCCAAGGAAUACCUGGAGCCACUGGAAGCUGGAGGAAGCAGGGAAGAAUGCUUCCCUAGAGCCUUCAGAGAGGGCAUGGCCUUGCGGAAACCUUGAUUUCAGACUUCUGGCAUCCAGGACUGUGAGAGAAUAAAUGCCUGAUGUUUUAAGCCAUGAAGUUUCUGGUAACUUGUCAUAUUGGCCCUAGGAAACUAAAAAGCUAUUAGAGUACAUUUAUAAUUAUGCAGAUAUUUAGCAUAUAUGUUAAAUAAAUAUAUAAAUACAUAUUAUGUAUCUGGG